rnacentral:rRNA from 1 species
AUUGAACGCUGGCGGCAGGCCUAACACAUGCAAGUCGAACGAGUGGCGGACGGGUGAGUAAUGUCUGGGCAACUGCCUGAUGGAGGGGGAUAACUACUGGAAACGGUAGCUAAUACCGCAUACCAUCAGCUGUGCCCAGAUGGGAUUAGCUUGUUGGUGGGGUAACGGCUCACCAAGGCGACGAUCCCUAGCUGGUCUGAGAGGAUGACGAGCCACACGGGAACGGAGACACGGUCCAGCCUCCAACGGGAGGAAGCAGGGGGGAAUAUUGCAAAAGGGGCGCAGGCCGGAUGAAGCCAUGCGGCGUGUAUGAAGAAGGCCUUCGGGUUGUAAAGUACGUUCAGCGGGGAGGCGUUACCCGCAGAAGAAGCACCGGCUAACUCCGUGCCAGCAGCCGCGGUAAUAC